rnacentral:rRNA from 1 species
CAUAUCAAUAAGCGGAGGAAAAGAAACUAACAAGGAUUCCCCUAGUAACUGCGAGUGAAGCGGGAAAAGCUCAAAUUUAAAAUCUGGCGGUCUUUUGGCUGUCCGAGUUGUAAUCUAGAGAAGUGUUAUCCGCGCUGGACCGUGUACAAGUCUCCUGGAAUGGAGCAUCAUAGAGGGUGAGAAUCCCGUCUUUGACAUGGACUGCCAGGGCUUUGUGAUGCGCUCUCAAAGAGUCGAGUUGUUUGGGAAUGCAGCUCAAAAUGGGUGGUAAAUUCCAUCUAAAGCUAAAUAUUGGCGAGAGACCGAUAGCGAACAAGUACCGUGAGGGAAAGAUGAAAAGAACUUUGGAAAGAGAGUUAAACAGUACGUGAAAUUGCUGAAAGGGAAACGCUUGAAGUCAGUUAUGUCGUCCAGGGAUCAACCUUGCUUUUGCUUGGUGCACUUUCUGGUUUGACAGGUCAGCAUCAAUUUUGACUAUUGGAAAAAGGCUUAGGGAAUGUGGCAUCCUUGGAUGUGUUAUAGCCCUUGGUCAUAUGCAAUGGUUGGGAUUGAGGAACUCAGCACGCCGCAAGGCCGGGUUUUUAACCACGUACGUGCUUAGGAUGCUGGCAAUAUGGCUUUAAUCGACCCGUCUUGAAACACGGACCAAGGAGUCUAACAUGCCUGCGAGUGUUUGGGUGGAAAACCCGAGCGCGUAAUGAAAGUGAAAAGUUGAGAUCCCUGUCGUGGGGAGCAUCGACGCCCGGACCAGACCUUUUGUGACGGUUCCGCGGUAGAGCAUGUAUGUUGGGACCCGAAAGAUGGUGAACUAUGCCUGAAUAGGGUGAAUCCAGAGGAAACUCUGGUGGAGGCUCGUAGCGAUUCUGACGUGCAAAUCGAUCGUCAAAUUUGGGUAUAGGGGCGAAAGACUAAUCGAAUCAUCUAGUAGCUGG